rnacentral:rRNA from 1 species
UACGGAGGGUGCAAGCGUUAUCCGGAUUCACUGGGUUUAAAGGGUGCGCAGGCGGAUAUGUAAGUCAGUGGUGAAGUCUCUGGGCUUAACCCGGAAAUUGCCAUUGAUACUAUAUAUCUUGAAUGCUGUGGAGGUAAGCGGAAUAUGUCAUGUAGCGGUGAAAUGCUUAGAGAUGACAUAGAACACCUAUUGCGAAGGCAGCUUACUACGCAGAGAUUGACGCUCAUGCACGAAAGCGUGGGGAUCAAACAGG